rnacentral:rRNA from 1 species
AGCAGCCGCGGUAAUUCCAGCUCCAAUAGCGUAUAUUAAAGUUGUUGCAGUUAAAAAGCUCGUAGUUGAAUUUCGAGAUCAAAUUGUUGGUCGUGCCUUGGUACGCACUGGCAUUAUUGGUUUCUCCCUUCUGACGAACCAUGAUGUCAUUAAUUGGUGUCGUGGGGAAUCAGGACUGUUACUUUGAAAAAUUAGAGUGUUUAAAGCAGGCUUACGCUUGAAUCAUUAGCAUGGAAUAAUGAAAUAGGACGUUUGAUUCUAUUUGUGGUUUCUAGGAUUGACGUAAUGAUUAAUAGGGAUAGUU